GACGAACGCUGGCGGCGUGCUUAACACAUGCAAGUCGAGCGGUAAGGCCCUUUCGGGGGUACACGAGCGGCGAACGGGUGAGUAACACGUGGGUGACCUGCCCUUAGCUCUGGGAUAAGCCUGGGAAACUGGGUCUAAUACCGGAUAUGACUCCAUGACGCAUGUUGUGGGGUGGAAAGCCUUGUGCGGCUAGGGAUGGGCCCGCGGCCUAUCAGCUUGUUGGUGGGGGUGAUGGCCUACCAAGGGCGACGGACGGGUAGCCGGCCUGAGAGGGCGACCGGCCACACUGGGACUGAGACACGGCCCA
rnacentral:rRNA from 1 species